CGACCAGAGGUGAGAGCUCAGGUGCCUUCUCCAAAUCCUUCUGAGCACGGGACGGCGCCCUGACCUCUGUCCCCUCUCGGCAG
rnacentral:pre_miRNA from 1 species